rnacentral:rRNA from 1 species
UACGUAGGGUGCGAGCGUUGUCCGGAAUUAUUGGGCGUAAAGGGCUCGUAGGCGGUCUGUCGCGUCGAAAGUGAAAACCCAGGGCUUAACCCUGGGCCUGCUUCCGAUACGGGCAGACUAGAGGUAUGCAGGGGAGAACGGAAUUCCUGGUGUAGCGGUGAAAUGCGCAGAUAUCAGGAGGAACACCGGUGGCGAAGGCGGCUCUCUGGGCAUUACCUGACGCUGAGGAGCGAAAGUGUGGGGAGCGAACAGG